ensembl:snoRNA Gm24616 small nucleolar RNA SNORA4
GCACCAAAGGCUGUAUUUGUGGGGAAGGUUUCUUAAAUAACCUUAACCAACUUAGGCUAUUUGGCAGAAUGAUAAGACCACACUCCACAGUGGGCUAUACCAUUUAGUAUGGUUCAUUACUAUAUUGUGGCCUACAUU